AGUGAACGCUGGCGGUAGGCCUAACACAUGCAAGUCGAACGGCAGCACAGUAAGAGCUUGCUCUUACGGGUGGCGAGUGGCGGACGGGUGAGGAAUACAUCGGAAUCUACUUUUUCGUGGGGGAUAACGUAGGGAAACUUACGCUAAUACCGCAUACGACCUACGGGUGGAAGCAGGGGAUCUUCGGACCUUGCGCGAUUGAAUGAGCCGAUGUCGGAUUAGCUAGUUGGCGGGGUAAAGGCCCACCAAGGCGACGAUCCGUAGCUGGUCUGAGAGGAUGAUCAGCCACACUGGAACUGAGACACGGUCCAGACUCCUACGGGAGGCAGCAGUGGGGAAUAUUGGACAAUGGGCGCAAGCCUGAUCCAGCCAUACCGCGUGGGUGAAGAAGGCCUUCGGGUUGUAAAGCCCUUUUGUUGGGAAAGAAAAGCAGCAGGUUAAUACCCCGCUGUUCUGACGGUACCCAAAGAAUAAGCACCGGCUAACUUCGCG
rnacentral:rRNA from 1 species